GGCUACUACAUCUAAGGAAGGCAGCAGGCGCGCAAAUUACCCAAUCCCCACGGGGAGGUAGUGACAAUAAAUACUGAUACAGGGCUCUUUUGGGUCUUGUAAUCGGAAUGAGUACAAUUUAAAUCCCUUAACGAGGAACCAGUGGAGGGCAAGUCUGGUGCCAGCAGCCGCGGUAAUACCAGCUCCACUAGCGUAUAUUAAAGUUGUUGUGGUUAAAAAGCUCGUAGUUGAACCUAGUGGUCUACUGUCUUCUGUCCUCACCGAUGGAAGAUUGGUGGGCCACCACCGGUCGUGAUGGUAACGUCACGGCCACGAUUACUUUGAAAAAAUUAGAGUGCUCCAGGCAGGCUUAUGCUCGAAUAGUUCAGCAUGGAAUAAUAAAAUAGGACGUGGGGUUCUAUUUUGUUGGUUUCUAGGACCAGCGUAAUGAUGAAUAGGGACAGUCGGGGGCAUCCGU
rnacentral:rRNA from 1 species